UAUCACCCAGAAGAGCGCAGGUGCUCCUCCAUCCUAGCUGGAGUGGCUGAUGUUAGGUAAUAUCUUAAUAGUUGGAUUUCUUAGCUGUCCAUCACCAAAAGCAGUAGUAGUCAUCUUUAUGAAAAAAUGAUGAUGUCCUCCCAUUGUGAGAAACAAGGAUAUUUUCCCACAUACGUAGGCAGUCACUUUUGGCACUCCAUGCCGUUGUGCAGAUCAGAACUGUUGCUUUUUUAAAUCAAGCCUCCAGAAUUCAGUAGUAUGAGUAUGAACGCUUCUAUGAAUGAAAUAAUACGAAGAAAUAAAUCUACUUGUCAGCCUUCAGGCCAUGACAUUUUUACCAAUUUGACUGGUACUCCCACAGAGUGAAAUGGACAAAGCAGCUCUAGCAGCCCUUGUGCAAGCCUGUCUCUGGAGGAAGCACCAUUAGGUUAUACAGGUUGGGAAUGGUCCUGGUGGAGGUACUGUCAUGAGAAAGCAUGGGAUGCACCUUUCAUGUAGCCAUGACAUUUUAGUAGAGCAUUUAAAAAAGCUGAGCUGCUACCAUAGUUUGCAGCCAGAGGAAUCCUUGCUGUCUUUAUUAGUUUACAAACAGAUAUCUAUCUGUAAGCUAAGUGUUUUAGGCCUUCUAAAAUACCAGGCAUCGCUGUAACUUGAGCUGUGCUGGCAGCCUAUAAUGCCUAUUAAGAAAGGAGAAGUCAGUCUUUUCUGGAUGGACUAUGAAUUUGCUAUAGCUGCCAAACACUGUCUCCCCCAGCCUGAAGAGCAUUACAGUUCUUCCUUCCACCCCUCACCCCUUCCAUGCUGUAUUGAGAAGAAAACAUUUCAUUUGGCAGUUCAGUUUUUGUCACUGUUUCACUGAGCAUAAUUUAAAAGGAAAAAUAAUCGUAUCCUUACUUCCUCAACACAUCUUUAUAUAGGGUGGACUGCAGUAAAAAGUUACAUUUAAUCACUGCCUGGCUUCCAGCAAAGAGAGUGCUGCAUAUAUCUAACCAAACCCAGAUACAAAACAACUCCCAGCUUGGGCACAGCCCUUAUAGAGAGGGAAGGCCAAUGGAGUUUAUGUUAAUGUUGAGAGUCUCAUUAGCCCAGCUUACAGAAAGACUGACUACCUUCAAGAAGCAGCAAGAGGAAAGCAGACAGGUUAAUUCAGUCGCUACUCUUCAGGAGAGAUGUGACAGCUUUAACUGUCUUGUGCGUCCAGAUUUAUGAACUAGUCCUAUGCUCUUAACCAGAUUAGUUCCUUUUCCAUUAACUGCUGAAAGUAGGGCAGCUGUCCGAGCGGCUGGUUGUAAAUUCGAUAAUGUCUGCUCUGUUAAUCUGUAGGCUUUUCAGAUGGAGAAGGCAGCAGAUAACAGGAUUAAAGUUUCACGACCCAGGGUUUUCACAGCCCGAUAUGCGGGCGUAGGGGGAUAGAGAAUGACUUCUGUCAUUAAUCUUAAUUGAUUGCCAAGAGGUUUUAAUCUGGGUUAUUAAUUAGGAAGAUCCUUAACAUACUGUCUACACAUCAACAUCAGAUGCUCUUUUGAGACUUUUGGGACAUAUGGCCUAUCUUAUAUUUACGUUCACACAAUUUGCACAUACAUAUAUUUCUGUAUGAAGUGCACAUAUAUAUGUAUAUAUGCAUACAAAUAACUGUAGAAACAUUUGCAUGCAGAGGCAUUGCACACUCUUUGGCAAUAUUUGAUGAAAAUGAAUAAACACAGUGCACAUAGGUUACAUUUCCACACAGUAAACAUGUAUACCUCUAUGUUCAUAUGUUUAUGUAUCUGUUUGCAUUAUACAUGCCAUUUAUCUCAAUUAUUUCUUAAAUGGAAAUAUCUGAUUUUGCAGAUUUACAUAAUGUUCACGUUUAACAGAAGUACAGCAUGUGUCCGUAUGUGCCUCUGGCCAUUAAGAUACCUACAGAUCUCAUACAGAAACAUUACCAUUUUUAUCUUUUUCAGUUCCCUGGAGUUAAUGUUCAGGCCCUCAUUUUUCCCUUGUUUUAUUUUUAAACAAGUUGCUGUUGGACAGCCAGAAUGGAUAGAGGUAUAACUACCCAUAGCUGCAACUAUGUAGCUACGCGAUAAAUCCCAGUAAGGCAGCUUUGAUGUUUACCAAAGUGCAGUAUGCAGGAAGAAAUAUUGAAUUAUGGAUUGAGCAUAUAAACUAGGCAAGAAGAGAAAAUGCUACGACAGAGUCCUGUAGAUUGUGUAGAUUCAAGCUGCACUAUAAAUUAUCCUUUUACAGAUAAUUAUUUACACGAUUAAUCACACAUACAGAACAAGAGCCAGGGGCUGAAGAGGCCUCAUGUUUUAAGUCUCCGUGAGUGACAGUGGAGAGGACUCCUGCUUCCUGCUCAGCAUGCUAGGCCAUGCUGUCCUGCUUUACCAAACAAAAUGCAAAUAUUAUAAGAAGCCAACCAUUUAAUUACUCAUGAGCUGAAAAGCCCGCCCUUAAAAGUGUUCACAAGUAAAAAUGGUUUGUAAUCCUUCAGACGAGAGAGAAGGGUGUAACUGCUGCUUUUGGGAAGGGUUAAAGAUGGCCAAGUAUCAGGGAGGACUUGCUGACAAGCUAGACAAAGGAUUUCCCAGUUCUUCCCAGGAAACAGAGAUCAGUUGCUGGCUCACCUAAACGUAGACUCAAUGGAGAAACACAUGAAAGAAUCUGAAAGUUCUUCUGUCAUGCCUGUAUUGGGUAUUGUGUUGCCUCUUUAAACUGUUACCCACAACUUUCCCUCAUGUCCCAUUGUAAAUUGCAUCUAGUCUUCCUGUAACAGAGAUUAACUGUUGCAGUGCCACAAAGGGGCAUCACACGAAUGCACCCGCCUCCCAAAGAUUUGCUGUGGCUCUCUGCUUCAACUUGGAUUUCAUCAGAAGUAACUUUCCAGCAUAUUCUGCCUCUUAGAAAGAAAUAGAUCUUGACUCAUUGCUAGGUUAUUUUCCUAACAAAGUCCCACUUGUGGAAGAUUUAUGGCUUUUAUCCUCUGUCUUACUAUUGCAAGAUGUUCCUUCUCUUGAGCAACACCUGUAACUUCAUUUGGACUACUGAGAUAUGUGGAUAUUACUGAAGUCCUGCUUUGUAUCAGUCAUUCAGCAGUCAGCUGAGUUGAUCUGUAAUUUUUCACUUAGCACUGGAGAUACUUCUGCUGAGAAGGAGCAGCGUAGUAACAUCAGACUUCCCAGGAAGGCAUCUUACUGAUCUGGCAGAUAAUCCAUUUUUGUGGUGUCUCAGGAGCUUUGUUGUCAAGUUGGGAACACCCCCUUGUUGGCACAUUGAAGAAAAGGUCAAAACUUGAUUUCAAACAAUGGCAUCAUUUCUUCCACCUCAUCACAAAUUUGAAAUCCAAGUAUGAAAUAACUUUAAUGACCAUGUUUCCUUGGCAUAGCUCUGUGUCUGCCUUUUCCAAUGAGUCACAGAUAAGGAGGAGGAACUGAAGUAAUUUGAAACCACAUUGUAGGCAAUAAAAACACCAGGCAUGGAAGAAGAGUCUUCCAAUUGGCUCACGCAGAAUCAGCAAAUGAUUUCCCAUAGCUGUGCGUCCUUUACUCCUUUGCUUUUUGACAACAUCUAAAUGAGAAGAGUUUAUUUCGAGCAAAAAUAAUGCAUUAGUCAUUUUAGCUCCCAUGCUCAAAGUUAUUAUUAGGAAUGGUAAUGUUCAAUGGAGAUGGGAUUCUCCAUAGCUGUAGAAAUGAAAGGGCCCAGAACUCUUCAUCAGUGAUCUGGCAUGUUUAACAAGAAUCAGACUGUGAUUCCAUUGCUGUUUGGAGAAGAUCAGUACAAACAUUUUAUAUCAACAAAGAUAACUGCUGAUGGAAAUCAACUGCCCAGGAGCUAGCAGGGGUCUGGGAUAGGGAAUUUGAUAACAGAAUGAGGCAGGAGGCUCAGAACACUUAAUGGAAAAAGAAAUAGGAUAGAUUUCUUUUGACUUCACUGGACUCUAAUUCCCUAAGCAACAGAAAAGGCUUAUAAAACAUCUUGAAAAGAGUAUUUUUAGAAACUAGAGUUUAUGCAUCACGUUGAAGGUGUCAGUGUCACCUGCAGGUAGUUGUGGCAACCUGCAACUCAAAGUGGAUUACUCGCUUCAGAGGAGUUUAUUAUGAACCCAUGCUCAAUUACAGCUAAGUGAGAUCCAAGUAUGAGCAAGUACCCCACCCAGAUGCUGUCACUGCACCAAUACAACAGUCUUCUAAAGCCUGAAAACAGCUGCACAUAAUAAUUUCAUGCAAGCAAAUCUUCUCAUUAGCUUUAAUACAACGUUAUCAGAAAGAAGGCAGGGUGAUGGAGCUGUUCUGUUUUUGUGAUGCUGGUUGCAUAAAAAAGUUGGGAAGGACUACUGCUGAACGUGACAAUUAUUUGUUAGAGGUGGACAGUUUGGAGAAAGAAGAAAAAAUAUUAACAUUUAAAUUUACUGCUUCUGAUCUUUUUACUCUAUUCCCAUAAUUCAAAAUUAUUUUUGUUUUGAAAUUUAUUUUUGCAUGUCUGCAAGUCCAUAAUGAACUAUAGAUCCAUUAAGAACUAACAAAAAUCCUAAACACUUGAAUUAUGAACAUCUUAAAAUAACUAAGCUGUAAUAUUUUAUCAGUAACUCAACUUUAAUAUUUAUAUGGAGUGCCUUAAGGUAACAUACGCCUGUGAUCCUUAUCUGUAUGUUUUGUCUCAAAAUUUCUACCUACUAAAACAAGUGAGUGUGCCAUACAGUGGCAAAGCCUGUUAAUAAAAGUUCAGGCUAACAUCUAUCCAUAAAUUAGGAUGCCUUGAUACAUUUGAGUUUUGUCCCCCAACAGUGUGACAUAAUGGCAUGCCCUCAGCCUUAACAUUUAAUUUUAAUAUUGAACUUGCUGCUUUUUGAUGGCUUGUGUCAUAGCCUUUAUGUAAUUUAAACACAGUCUUAAAAAAAUUAAUUCAAUUACGAGCAAUGGGGUUAUUAAUGCUGCUUCAUGUCACUAAAUAUAUAGGGGUACGUAUGAUUCUGUUCCUUUUAAGUCACUCUGAAAUGAAUUUUGCAACUUCUGAUAACUGUGGUGGACAAAUGCUAAAUGAAAAUCAAUCACUUUAAUUUAAAUGGGCUAAGCUCACUGUCUUUCUUAAACAGCCUCUGUCGGACAGCUAACCAGAUGAUAAGUAACAGUUUCACUGACCUAUAGCCUUUGAAUGUUUAACAUAAUCCUCUAAGGACAGCACUUCAAUUACCACUGCAUUGCUUGUACUCUAGGGCUCAGGAUUGCUCAUUCGUAUAUAAGGAUUACUUCUGAUGCACUUUUCUAUCUGUAGUUUUCUUCCACAAUGUUGCUCCAUUUUUAUUACUGUGUCUAGCAAUCUAAACCCUGCAACUGAAAUGAAUUUGAUCAAAUUAAAGAGGAUCAGAUUUUCCUGGAAUUCGUUAAUCACUUUUUUUUCCACUGGAAACAACAGAACUCCUUUGAUGGUCUGAAAUAUAAAUUUUCUUGUAGGAUGCAAAACAUCACUGUGUGAUGAGAGAUGAGAGAGGGUAAAUGCAGAUGGAAAGUACAUGUUAGCUAGUAGAACAUUUUAUCUUUCUGUGCCAAAGUACAUGGGUAAUACUUCAUGUUAUAUUACAGUAGCAACUUAAAACCUGCUAAAAUUUGAAGUGGUUGUAAAAUGAUGGACAGGGACAGGUAUCUUCGGGAAGUUGUUGAAAAUGACCCCCCCCCCCAAAAAAAAAAAAAAAAGUGUAUUAUUUAGGGCUUAAAAUUUUCAGAAGAGCCUAAGGGCUCUUAAAAUUCACCCAGUUCCAGGGAAGGACUUCCCUGGCAAAGCCCACACCAUCCCAUCAAAACAAACUGUCACAGGUCCCUAAAUCAUACAAAUCCUGCGUAUUGCCACUAGAAAAUGACUGAUUACCACUGGAAACAGGUAUUGCAUUUUAGACCACAUCCUUAUGUCUGUCCUGCUUCCUUCCCUGUUUCAGUCCUGCCUUUUUGCCCUAUUCCUGGCUCAGUUCCCUCUCUGUGUAGACUGCUGCAUUUGCCCUCGCUACUGCAGAGUUCUGCUCAUUAUCUUGAACCUAGAGUGCCUAUCACAGCUGAACCACAACUAGUUGCAGGUCAUUUAUUUAAUUUCAUUAAUAAAAUAAAAAUGUCCACAGACAAAGGUUUUUGCCCUCUAAUAGCCACUUCGAGUCUCAGGCAGCUGACGGGAAUGACCUUUUAUUUCUGCAGUCAUUUUCAUAAUGAUAUUCAGGGUUGGGCCCAACAACCAAUCUGCCAUGCAUUAGUAGACAUCAGUUCCCUUUGGUAAUACAAGAUAGAUGUACCCCAAGCAGAUGGUCAGAGAUCAUAGGUGGCUAAUGAACUUGAUAGGGCAUUUUAUUAAGAUUAUGAUGGCAACUAAAUAUGUUUUUCCCCUCUGAUAACAUCAUUUAUAACAAAAAGAAAAGGUGUGUAAAGGAACAGGAGGAUACAAUGGAUUGUGUUGUUGGACCUAGAGAUUUCUGAAUUCUGGAUGAAAUUUCUCAAAUCUGAUUGCUCUAGAAGUGCAUUGGCAUAAAGUGCCUUGUUGUUGGCAGAGAAAAAGAAACUGCUAGUGUAUCUUGGUGCUAAUUGGAGAGAAGGUGGCACAAUGUUACCCCCAUCCUGGUAUUUGUUACUGACUCUACUGCUUUGAAUAACUUCUACAUGUCAGAUAUUUUAAAGCUAGUUAUCAUACUCCCCACUCCAGUGAAAAUCCAAGAAAAUACAAAUUUCAUGAAGUUUAGCCUUGCAAAUGCAUAUCAAAGACAUGUUCACAUGGGGGGCCAUGGAAUUGCACCCCUUUAAUCACAGAGUAUAGCAGAGUCAUACUUGUUUUCCUUGAAAGCCCUUCCUGCUCCUAGCGUUUGCAUUUUUGGAGUGUGGGCAUGUUCAGACCUACCAAACCGAAAUCCAAGUUAUCCUUCCUUUUUUUCCUCCAAACUAACUGUAUGCCUUCAUGUCUCUGUGAAACUGACCCUAAGAGUAUCAAGGCCAAUUGCAUCUGCCUAGCACUUCUCCUAGUCAGGGCCAAAUCAAUCAACAGCACAAAGCCAUCAAGCUUGAAAGAGCACUUUAUACUAUUUCAUGUGCUUAAUUCUUGCCAAGUAUAACAUAUUUUUACUGAGUAAAAGCCAGUUUCUCUCUGCUAGAUAAAUAGUACAACUGUGGCUCAAAUUGCAAGUGAAAUUUUACUUUUGACUUUUAAGGAUUUGAGGUCUGUGUCACAAGUAUUUGAGAAACGCCUUCAUCUCCUGGCAUAUUACUCUAGUUUAGCUCAUUUAACCCGUCCAAACCCCACCUGCAUGGAGAGAUGCUAGCUGGAGAUUAACAGUCACAGCCAAUCCCUAGCUGUGGCAUUUGCCUCCCACCUUUGAUUCCUAAAAUAUACAUCCAGUAGUUUUCAGUAUGGACUUCGGAGUUUCCUCUAAGGCUAAUCUGAGGGGUAGUAAACACAACUGGUCUUCAGCUGAAAUGAUUGCUCAUUACACCUGAUUCCUUAGGAGGUUGUGUGUUAAAACUCAAGUUAAAAUCAAGCUAAUCGUGUCUGCUAUUGACUUAGAUCUGUAAUUGACUAUGCUGAGCUUAUACUCAGCAAUACGAAGGGUUUGGUAACAACUUACGGAUGUGGUACUGAAAAAUACCUUUGGUUUAGGCUUUCCAGAAUUCAGUUUAAAUGUAUUGCCAAUAGUUUAAAGAAGAUAAACAGAAAGAAAUAUUCCAAUUUCUUUAUAUUUGAGUUUCCUAUCUCUAAUGUAAUUAGCCCUUUUCUUAAAAGGGUCAGCCACAUGCUCAGUUGUUUGCCUGGGGGGGGGGGAGGGGGGAAGAGGGGAAAAUUGGCUAAGAAGUUAUGAGAAAAUUAGUAUCUGAUAUCACUAUGCUGGGAGAAAUUUUAUUGACCAGCAUAUUUUACAGCCACAUGUUUUCAUCAAGGUAAAAAUGCAACAUAAAUUUUCCUCCAGUUUGUAUCUCUGGUCUAGUCACAGUUGAGCAUUUCUUACUGGGUUUUUGAGAAGUGCUUGGACAAGCAAGAGGUGCCUCCCUUGAGCGAGGACUGCAGGACCAGCCUCAGUAAACCCCUUGCCAUUACUGGUGAUACCACUAAGAUGGUUAUCACAAGCAGAGUAGCUGUGAGUUCUUUGCUCUAGAGUAUUAGGAUACUUUGGGUUUUUAAAAAUAGUCUACCUAUUUAAGUGGAACAUCAUUCCUGAACUUGUAAGAAGAAACAUUACGAAAAAGAUUACUAUGAAAGAGAAUUAUGAUGGUGUGACCUGUCUCAGCAGACUAUGACAGCAGCAUUGAUCAACCUGUAAGCAAGACCCAUUCUUUUUAUCGAUCUUGCUGUCACUUCAUGCUACAGCCUCUCACAACACCUCUGCUGUUGCAAGGAAGACCACCAUGCAUGGGCUUCAGCAGCGAGUACAGCUGCUCUCCCUAGGAUAAUCUCCCAGCUGGGCCAUAUACUCAUUUUUACAGAGAGCACAAGAAUAAUUCACUGCAGCUAAGUAUCUGCCCAAUCUCCUCUUCUUUCCUAGCCAGAAUGGUGGGGGCUUGCAGAGAUUGAAACUAAAAUGUUUGCCAUCUGACAACUCUUUUAGUCUGCCUUGCUAGUCUACUGUCUCCACCAAGAUCACAACACAGACAUAAAUGCUGCUGAUUGGAGUGAGGGUAUGAAAUACACUUGAGCAAAAAGCAGGAGGAAGAUAUAAGAGGAACAGAAAGCAUGUCUUUGUACUGGCUAAUUUUUGAUUUCCACUCAGCACUUCCCAGCAUCUGCACCACUGCCACACACUGAAGUUGCAGGUUUGCUAAAUGUAGCAUGUCGUCCCUGAGCAAAGCAGCACAGCUUCCCCCAGUGACAGUGCUGGUAAUUAAGACACAAGAGAUACAGCAGCAUUUUUCUAAGGGUUACAGGGUCUGAAGAAGACAACGCAAUAAAGUAUGAGGCUAGUGAUGCUAUGUGACGUUUUUGUAGAGGUGAUGUGAACACCAACUAACGAAGGCAACGCCACUUAUGGGAUGGGGAAAAAAGAGAGGCCUCCAGUGAGCCCUGUGAACUACCACUAGGAACCAAGGAGUAGAACUGAUAUGGGUAGGAGACUUCAUAUUCCAUUUUUAGAAGAUGAAAAUGGGAGAAUUAAACCCUCAAAGCAGACAAUUACCUUUGGUGCAAGAGAAAAGCAACACAAACAGGUUUGUUCCCAUAGCUCUGUUGAGUACACCUAAACGUAACUCUGUGUAACAUCUCUCUGGUAUUACUCUCCACUUAACAGGGAUCUUACUGCGAUACUGGGGUCAAUUCAUCACUAGAAAAGAGAAAAACUAUCAUUUUUAAAUGCUAGGGUUUAUCCACUGUGAUAACACCACACCGUCGCAAUGCCACAUUGGUACAUUUUGUGGAAAGGUCUAAUAAACAAACGCAUUCUUACUUGUCACAGAGUAAGGGACAGAGAUUUUACCUUGUGUACAGCACAAAAGUCAGCUGAAGUCAGGUCAUAUGCCAGGCUAAACUGAGCUAUACAGAGGGAUAUAUAUUUAUAAAAGAUGCACGCUGCCUAGUGUUAGAAUAUGACAGCAUGCAGACCUUUGUGCUUCAGAUGGCUCUGAACAAUGACUAGUAUUGUUCCUAUUUGCUUUACCUACUGUAUGAGGCCUAAGCCACGCGCACCUUCAAGCCUCCUUGGAGACAAGGUGGUGGCAUCACUGGUCAGCCCACUUGGGAGAAGGACAGCUGUUAGAGCCGAUUGCAGCCCUUGUCAGCAUUAAUGACCCGCAGUUGACACCCCAUCCCCGCCACCCUUGUUCAGUGUACAAGUAUUGCAUUGGAAUAAUUACUGCCUGUCAUCCCCUAUUUCACACACAUACUCCUCUUAGCCCAGACGUACAAAGGGACAUGUGACUAGAUGCUGAACUAAUGUUGACUCUCUUUGUGUCUGGGGCUUCUGUGCUUGUAUGUGUGCGCGCCGUAUAUAUGCAUACUGACAUUCAGUGCUCAGGUAAUACGAAGGGUAAGUUACACCAGUGAGAUUCCCUCACUGUCCUUCCUGGAUCCUGUCAGAUAUAACUCAUCAGGAAUGUGUAAGGGCUCUGGCCUCCUGUAAAGUCUGAGUACCCGGAUGGCAGGCUUGUAUCGGCUCUGCUUUGCUCCACAGCUCUGCUCCCCUCCUGGCUGUGUGUUUCAAUAGAGAAACCUCUUAAGCAUCCUUGUCCAGUUCUCUCUGCUUCUUUGGAUUUGGGAAUCUUAUGCCCAGGAUGUCUUGAUUUUGAGAGCUAUGCAGGUGUUACAUAUCCUGUCAUUUUCUGCCUCCCUGCCGUGGCUGGCUCUUCUGUAAGCAGUAGAUCAUAGAAUUACAGAAUAUCCCAAGUUGGAAGGGACCCACAAGGAUCAUCGAGACCAACUCCUGGCUCCCCACAGGACCACACCAAAAUCAAACCACAUGUCUGAGA